AAGGAGAGUAAAAGGCAGACAUUGACACACACACACACACACACACGAUGGAUUCUCUUUAAGGAUGAGCAGGAAGGAGGACAUUUAAGAAGGCAAAACAGGGUCAAUGACAGAGGAAGGUAAUCCGUACCAUGACACUGCAGUUAGUGAGCACAAAGGACCCCUCCUGAGUCACUCUGGGGUAUAGAGGACAAGAAGAAGGGAAUGACAUACAUAGGAGAAAGAUGAAGUCUCUACCUAUCCAUUGACGUAAAUAUAUCCCCUGUCUGAAUCCCAGAACUUCCACUUGAUAGCAGUAGGAGAUCACAUGACGUCUCUUGAACACUUGAAACCGGUUGCAUCUGGUUUGGGUAGUGAGUCACUGUGCCAAAACGACUGCACAGAUUUUCAAGCCUGUCAACUUAAAAUGGCCACAGCAAUCAGGGCUUUCAAGUGAUGGAGUUUGAUUUGUUUAAAAAAAAAAAAAUAAGACAGACAGGUGAGGAAACAUCAAACUCAAACUCCUUUCCCCAUUUCACUUUUCCUAUUGUAAACGAUGAGCUGGAUCAGCAGUUCAUGUGGAGGAUCCGUACAAGAUCAUGUGGCAAUGGAGGCUGCUGAGGGGAGAACGGCUCAUAAUAAGGUCCGGAACAGAGCAAAUGGAACCAUGUGUUUGAUCUAUUUGACACCAUUACACUGAUUUCCGCUCCAGUCAUUAGCACCACGACCUCCUGUGUCAUGUGGAUGGAGAAGGAAAUGCUUUACAAUGACCGUCAGGUGUACCCUUUCCAUGUGUACUUAAUGUCUGCACUUUUAGUGACUUUACCUACAUUGCAUUCUCUAUAAAUAUCACCAUCAGCA